rnacentral:lncRNA from 1 species
ACUAAUAUUAUGAACAUGUGUAACACUAUGAUCGAGAUUCAAUAAACCAUUGAGGGUAAUUAUUCAAGCAAAUAGAAUAACGAUUAUUCUUUUAAAUGAAUAAUCGUAUUGCAACAAACACGAUACAAUCAUGUUCAUGCUCCACGCAAACACCAAAUAGCAAUUAUUUGGGUUUCACCACCAAUCCCGAUGAUAGAGGGAGCGUGCGACCUUUGAUCAUAUCAACCUUGGAA